AUGAACGCUAGCGGCAGGCUUAAUACAUGCAAGUCGAACGGUAACAGGUCUUCGGACGCUGACGAGUGGCGCACGGGUGAGGAACACGUACACAAUCUACCUUAUACUGGAGAAUAGCCCCGGGAAACUGGGAUUAAUACUCCAUAGUCUUUAAUGAUCACAUGAGAAAUAAAGUAAAGCUUCGGCGGUAUAAGAUGAGUGUGCGUCCCAUUAGAUUGUUGGUGAGGUAACGGCUCACCAAGUCGACGAUGGGUAGCUGGCGUGAGAGCGCGACCAGCCACACUGGCACUGAGACACGGGCUAGACUCCUACGGGAGGCAGCAGUAGGGAAUAUUGGUCAAUGGACGAAAGUCUGAACCAGCCAUGCCGCGUGGAGGAUGACUGCCCUCUGGGUUGUAAACUCCUUUUAUAUGGGAAGAAACCUCUGGAUUCACUCCAGAGCUGACGGUAUCAUAUGAAUAAACACCGGCUAACUCCGUG
rnacentral:rRNA from 1 species